rnacentral:sRNA from 1 species
GGUAACUAGGCGCAGGUCCCAGCCGCCGCACUAAACCCGGCCCGUGCGGUGAUUGGACGCAGGCCCCGGGCCGCGGCGGAGGCGGGCGAUCCGAAAGAGGCUGGUGCUGGCUGCAUGGGGAGGCGGCGGCAGCGGGUGGACCCCGCGGCUGGGGCCCGGGCCGGGGCCCUGCCUGAGGCCAUCGCCGCGUUGAGUCGGUCGCUGCCCUCGGGACCCAGCCCCGAGAUCUUCCGCCGCGCCAAGUUCGACCGUCCGGAGGCGGUGACGCUCUCGCGGAGGGCAGGCGGGCCGGGUGGGGUCCCGGGCCCUCGCAGGGAGUUGGGCCGGCUCCGCUGACCGCCCGCUUUUUAUUUUCCGCAGACCUCCGCGCUCUGGCAGCUCCUCUUCCGUGUGCUCUCGCCACUCCCUGCGGGCAACGCCUUGGCAUCGCUCGCCCUGGAGGUCCAAGCCCGCUUGGUGAAGUCAGCACUGUGUUCCCAGGGCUACCCGAGGCUGGCACUGGCACAACUACCUGAGGAUGGCUCGCAGGGCAGUCGGGAGCUGCUGCUGGCUCUGUCCUGGCUCUUGGCCCGAGGACCUGUGCCCGAGCAGAUGCUGGCCCAGGCCCGAGUGCCUCUGGGUGACGAGAUGACUGUGUGCCAGUGUGAGGCCCUGGCCAGCCCUGGCCCACCUGCACCCCACAUGGAAGCAGAAGGUCCUGUGGAUGUCCGCCACGUGCAGUGGCUGAUGGGAAAGCUGCGGUUCCGGUGGCGCCAGCUGGUGUCCAGUCAGCAGGAGCAGU